GGGGGGCCUCGUGUGAUGUUCUGGGGGGCUGUGUGCAGCGGGAGGGACAGCACCAAGCCUGGCUGUGGGUGCCAGGGGCUGCUUUCUCCUCCCGGCCAUCUGUCUGUCCCCCCUGGGAAGGUGGGGAGUGAGGACGGUUUCCACCUCCGAGGUUUGGGGGGGAUUCGGGGAACGAGUACGAGUGAGGUUCUCAGUGCCACGUGGCUGGCACAUGGUCAACCCUCUAAAGUCCAAGCUAUGAACAUGGGGUGCAUUUCGAAGAGCUCCCCAGGUCUCCCGGGUGACAUCUGGGGGCCUGUGGGGCGUGUGAGCUUGGAAGGGUGACGCUUCCCAGGACUGAGGACACCGCAGGGCAGGUUCCCACGUCUCUUGGUACUUUGGGAGGAAAUGAGCUCAUCGCAUGUGAAAAGCCCUCUCACCCCUGCACACAUCCAGGAAACAAGGCGUCCCUAACCAGCUCUUGGGGUCCCCUGCUGGCUCGGUCGGCGGAGCAGGAGCCUCGAUUUCAGGGCUUUUUGAGUUUCAGCAGCAUUUGGGUGUGGAGAUUCUUUAAAAUAAAAACGCCCCGAAUCUGGUUCUCCAACAUUGAUUUUUUAAAAAUAUUUUAUUUGUUUGACAGAGAGAGUGAGCACAAGCAGGGCGAGCAGGAGAGAAUCAGGCUCCCCGCUGAGCAGGACUCUGGGACCCUGGGACCACGACCUCAGCUGAGCAGGACCCUGGGACCCUGGGACCACGACCUCAGCCCAAGGCAGACGCCCAACCGACUGAGCCCCCCGGCGCCCCAUUCCUCAUGGAUUUGUGACUCUGUGAAGCUCUGCCCUCUCCUCUCCCCCAAUCUUUAAACGUCACUAAAUAAAAGCUGUUUAGAGAAACAAUAAAGAAGUCUCUAAUGGAUUCACGGAGGGAGAAAGCAGGCACUGAAGGUACAUGAUGCGGUGAUUCGGCCCUUGAACACAUCACCCAGCGCUCAUCACGACAGCAAACGUUUUCUCCGGUUUCUGGUUCACCUUUCACCUUCGGGUACAGCCUUUCCUGCUCUAUCUCAUCACGGAGCCAGAUGGAGGACCUGAGAGUUGACCCUGGGCCUGUGGCUCUCCACACCCAGGAUCCUGAUCCUCCUCCUCCUUUUCCCAACUCCCCCGCAUGCAGCUCCCGCUGUGGGCGGACUUGUUGUCUGUAAUAUUGGAGGGUAUGUACUAAGAAAUACACUCCCUGUCAGUAACAAUUAAAAAGCCCUACACAACUUAUACAGAAGAGGGAAACGUAACUACUCACCUGCCAGAAGGCGACCAUGGAGACUGUAUCAAGUGUCGUCGUAAGGAUGCUGGGCAAAGGCAAUUCUCACAUACUGCAGGGGGGAGGCCUAUGGAUGGGCUACUUCAGAAAACUGUGUCUGCUAAAGGAAAAAUAAACAGAACUACAAAUACAUGGAUCUCCCGUGCCCCAGUAAUUCCACCCCCAGGUGUGUGUCCAACAGAAACCUGCAUAGGGCACCAAAGCCGUGUGUAAGAAUGUUUGUGGUGGUACCUUCGUAACCGCAAACAUCUGGAGACAACUCAGUGCCCGUGGUCGCAGAUCGGAUAGAUACACAGUCGUUUGUUCACACAGGGAGAGCGGAUGCGAACACCGCACACCACGCUGAAUGCAAGAAGCCAGAUUUGAACCACAGGGCGUGUAUGGGAAGUUCAAAACCAGGCAAAACUGACCGGUGAUGUUAGAAAACAGGAUGGCGACCAGAAGGAGGUGCCAGGUGGGCCUUCUGGGUGGUGAAGGAUGUCUUUUUGUGAUGUGAGGAGUGGUUACAAAGGUCUGCCUCCUUUUUAAAAAUUUAACAAGGUGUACACUAUAUUUAUGGCAUUUUCUAUGUGUGUUAUUACUUCAGAAAAAAAAUCAAAAGGUAACAAACUAAUGACAAGUAGUUUUUAAAACUGAAUCAGAUAAAGAUUACCAGGGAGAUGGCUUUUAAGAGCAAAUUAUACAGGAAAGGUGCCUGGGGGGCUCAGCUGGUGAAAUAUCUGACUCUUGAUUUUGACUCAGGCCAUGAUCUCAGGGUUGUGAGAUCCAGCCCCGCCCAGCAUGGAGCCUGCCUGGGAUACUCUCUCUCCCCCACU